rnacentral:rRNA from 1 species
UGGCUCAGGACGAACGCUGGCGGCGUGCCUAACACAUGCAAGUCGAACGGACGAGGGGAGCUUGCUCCCCAAGUUAGUGGCGGACGGGUGAGUAACACGUGAGCAACCUGCCCUUCGGAGGGGGACAACAGCUGGAAACGGCUGCUAAUACCGCAUGACACAGCGGGGAGGCAUCUCUCUGCUGUCAAAGAUUUAUCGCCGAAGGAUGGGCUCGCGUCUGAUUAGAUAGUUGGUGAGGUAACGGCCCACCAAGUCUACGAUCAGUAGCCGGACUGAGAGGUUGAACGGCCACAUUGGGACUGAGAUACGGCCCAGACUCCUACGGGAGGCAGCAGUGGGGAAUAUUGGGCAAUGGGGGGCAACCCUGACCCAGCAACGCCGCGUGAAGGAAGAAGGCUUUCGGGUUGUAAACUUCUUUGACGAGGGACGAUAGUGACGGUACCUCGAAAACAAGCCACGGCUAACUACGUGCCAGCCGCCGC